GACGAACGCUGGCGGCGUGCUUAACACAUGCAAGUCGAACGGAAAGGCCCUGCUUUUGUGGGGUGCUCGAGUGGCGAACGGGUGAGUAACACGUGAGUAACCUGCCCUUGACUUUGGGAUAACUUCAGGAUACUGGGGCUAAUACCGGAUAGGAGCUCCUGCUGCAUGGUGGGGGUUGGAAAGUUUCGGCGGUUGGGGAUGGACUCGCGGCUUAUCAGCUUGUUGGUGGGGUAGUGGCUUACCAAGGCUUUGACGGGUAGCCGGCCUGAGAGGGUGACCGGCCACAUUGGGACUGAGAUACGGCCCAGACUCCUACGGGAGGCAGCAGUGGGGAAUAUUGCACAAUGGGCGGAAGCCUGAUGCAGCAACGCCGCGUGCGGGAUGACGGCCUUCGGGUUGUAAACCGCUUUCGCCUGUGACGAAGCGUGAGUGACGGUAAUGGGUAAAGAAGCACCGGCUAACCACGU
rnacentral:rRNA from 1 species